UACGUAGGGGGCUAGCGUUGUCCGGAAUCAUUGGGCGUAAAGAGCGCGUAGGCGGCCAGACAAGUCCGGUGUGAAAGUCAAAGGCUCAACCUUUGAAUGCCGCUGGAAACUGUCUGGCUAGAGUCCGGGAGGGGCGAGUGGAAUUCCUGGUGUAGCGGUGAAAUGCGCAGAUAUCAGGAGGAACACCAAUUGCGAAGGCAGCUCGCUGGAACGUAACUGACGCUGAGACGCGAAAGCGUGGGGAGCAAACAGG
rnacentral:rRNA from 1 species